UACGUAGGGGGCAAGCGUUGUCCGGAAUCAUUGGGCGUAAAGCGCGCGUAGGCGGCCCGGUAAGUCCGUUGUGAAAGUCAAAGGCUCAACCUUUGAACGCCGAUGGAUACUGCCGGGCUAGAGUCCGGAAGAGGCGAGCGGAAUUCCUGGUGUAGCGGUGGAAUGCGCAGAUAUCAGGAGGAACACCAAUAGCGAAGGCAGCUCGCUGGGACGGUACUGACGCUAAGGCGCGAAAGCGUGGGGAGCGAACAGG
rnacentral:rRNA from 1 species